UGGGGGAUAUUGGACAAUGGGGGCAACCCUGAUCCAGCCAUGCCGCGUGCGUGAAGAAGGCCCUAGGGUUGUAAAGCGCUUUCGGCGGGGAAGAUGAUGACGGUACCCGCAGAAGAAGCCCCGGCUAACUCCGUGCCAGCAGCCGCGGUAAUACGGAGGGGGCUAGCGUUGUUCGGAAUCACUGGGCGUAAAGGGCGCGUAGGCGGCUUGGACAGUCAGAUGUGAAAGCCCGGGGCUCAACCCCGGAACGGCAUUUGAUACUGCCAGGCUGGAGGACGGAAGAGGAGGGUGGAAUAUCCAGUGUAGAGGUGAAAUUCGUAGAUAUUGGAUGGAACACCGGUGGCGAAAGCGGCUCUCUGGUCCGAACCUGACGCUGAGGCGCGAAAGCGUGGGGAGCAAACAGGAUUAGAUACCCCGGUAGUCC
rnacentral:rRNA from 1 species